rnacentral:rRNA from 1 species
AUUCUUGGUCAUUUAGAGGAAGUAAAAGUCGUAACAAGGUCUCCGUAGGUGAACCUGCGGAGGGAUCAUUAACACGUGCCAAAACACGUUUCAAACCAAUCGCUCUGUGAACACAAACCCAACUCCCUUCACACGUGGACGACCGAACAACCAUCAGGGUGGAGAGCAUGUGCAUAUGGAACAAUCGACUCUUCGGAGGAGACUCUGUAUGUCUUGCGACUAUGGCUCGGUCUAGGGCUCCUUCGAGAGUCCAAUCCUGUGUGAAGCGAUGCGCGACCACCUGGCAGUGUGCCUUUCCCGGCCUGCAUUCGUGCGGUCUGUGAACUGUGCAAGCGUUCUGCCGAACUUGUUUCACCCCAUUUUUUUAACCCCUUUAACAACAUACUAAUAACUGAACCAUGUUCAUGCAGUCGCUUGUCUGACUCCGGUCGGUCAUGUCGGCUCAUGAUACGAUAUACGUAAUGCUGAACAACUCUUAGCAAUGGAUAUCUUGGUUCUCGUAACGAUGAAGAACGCAGCGAAAUGCGAUACGUAAUGCGAAUUGCAGAAUUCAGUGAAUCAUCAAAUCUUUGAACGCAAAUGGCGCUUCUGGGAUAGGCCUAGGAGCAUGCCUCUCUGAGUAUCGGUUCUAUCAAUCAACGACAGCGUGCUGGAAACAGUCAUGGCUGGGCAGUUGGAAAAUGAGCGUAUGAUUGCGCAAGCAAAUCAGUCGCUUGAAACAGAUAGAAGCUUGAAUCGCACUAGAGGAAUGUUCCUACUCGUCGCGAGUAGGAGACGGGUUGUUAUGGCUCCAUUCUACAUGCUAGUGACGUGGAUCGAAGUACCCUCUGUGGUCUUUCAAAACGUCUGCUGGUUGAGUGGUGGCUGUUUCGGCCUCGUGUAAGCUCUGGUUGAAGUUGGUUCAACACGGUUUCUGACUCGAAUUCCCCUUGUCUCCGGGCUUGGGUGUUUUGAAUUAGAUCUCAGAUGAAGCAAGAGGACCCCCUGAAUUUAAGCAUAUUAUUACUGAGGAAAGAAACUAACAAGGAUUCCCCUAGUAACGGCGAGUGAAGCGGGAUGAAGCUCAAUCUGGGAAUCGA